UAGGGUGAAAUCCGACAAGCGUGGCCGGGGGGAUCGGUCGAAGAAUGCUGAUUAUCCCAUCGGGGGAUCACGCGCCCGCGCGCCGCGGUCAGUGAUAACUUGGAACCUGUCCUGCUCGCGCGCUUGCCCAGGAGCUGUCUUGUACUUAGAGAAUCGACCUGGAAGACUGAUUUUUUUCACGAUGCACCGAUUAAUAAUCAUCAUGGCUCUGGCACUCUGCAUGGCUCUCGUUGCUGCGAACAGGUACAAAGAAAUCCAAAUGUCGAGCAUCUUUGUUUGCUGGCGUGAGUGUGACAAUCAAUGUGAAGAGGCGUUCAAACAGAGAUUCAGCAGCGGCAGUUGUAAUGGAAACAUAUGCACUUGCGAGUACACGAGUUAGAAGACUCUUCUUUUUAGCAAUUACCACUCAAAGUCGUUAGUUAUUGACACUAGUUUUUAAGAAAUUUCUUCACUCAAAUGCUCACAGCCCUGAAUGGCGGAAAAACUCACCUCCCAAGAAAUGAUUAAGCGCAUGCAUUUUUCCCUAGUAGCACACAACAUAAAAAUUACAAACAAACUGUUGUAAAAAAUUUCAUGAAAAAAGUAGGUGGUAAAAUGGACCUAAAAAAAAUUGGGUAGUACUUCUACCAGAAAAAUGUGUAAAAUAUUCAAUCCCUUUUGCAGAAAUUUUAACUCCUUUAAUCACAAAUUUUUCGCAUAAAAUUCUUCAACUCUGAUUGAUUACCUAUUUAUGGGCUCUCUAAAGAUGAGUAAAGCCUUGAAACUCAAAAAAUUACCAGAUUUACAUUUUAUUUCAAUGCUCUUUUUUUUUUAGCUGUAUGAGCUAAUACGGCGAUGCAUAAAAGUGACAGUCGUCAGAGAAAAGUACCUUGGUACCGAAUGCACAGAAUAGAAGUAUUGAUACUACUGCAUUAAGGAGUGUUUUUCAAACAUUUAGGCACAAAAUUUUUUACAGAUAUAUCAAAUCUAACGGGAAUAACGGCAGUUUGAAAUUUGCAGUUAAAAAAAUACGUAGGAAAAAACCUUUCAUAGGUUUUACUAUGCCAUGUUCAAGGCUCAAAAUCUUAGAAUGAUAAUGACGGUUUUGAUCCACCUUUGGCACAGAAAUAAAGUAGAUCAGUUUCUCCUUGCUUCCUGUAAAAUACUGCGGAGAGAAUUGCCAUCGCAAACCCAGAAAAGAAAGUUUUUAACGCGAUUUAACGAAAAUUUCUCCUACAAAAUUUGCUGCCUAGGACUAAGGUCCAUCUUCUUUCAUGGCCAGGCCGGUCAAAAAUGAUUAUUUUUUCGAAAUCAUUUCAAUUGAAUGAUUCAUUUGAAUAAUUAUUGAAAUAAGUAAAAUUUGAAGGAGUGCGCAGGUAAGUAAAAAAUUAUUCUUCUUUAAAGAAAACCAGGCUUGACAGUAAUUUACCUACUUCAUUUUCUAUUGUUGAAAAGAACUGAUGUCCUAAGUAUCAACAUUGUUAUUUUAGCUCAUUUAUAGUUAACUAAUUUGCAGAAUGUACAGAAAAAACAGCCUAGCCAAUCAAUAUUUUUGAAUAAACUUUUAAUUUUUAAU